rnacentral:tRNA from 1 species
GGCGGGGCUCAGUGGUAGAGCAUGUGCCUAGCAUGCAUAAGGCCUUGGGUUGAAUCCCCAGCACCA